rnacentral:misc_RNA from 1 species
AAGGUUUCCGUAGGUGAACCUGCGGAAGGAUCAUUAACACGUAUCCAACGUUAAACCCCCCUGUGAACCUUCAUGCUUGUUGGUGUCUGAAAGUGUCACUAGCUCUGUAAGAAUGGCACAGUAACGAUCUAGAGGCCGACACGGCCGGCGACCGGGUCACGGGCUCACGCCCCUUAAUCACCUUUGCAUGAAAACGCCUGAGCUUAUUUGUGCGGCCACCAAACUCGAACAACUGUUUACAAUGGAUAUCUUGGUUCUC